AGUGAGAGGAAAGUGUAGAGAUUUGAGAGAGAAAGAAGAGAUUAGAGUGAGAAGAUGCAUUAAUUGCAUAUAUUCUCUAAGAUUUUCAAAUCUUAGCCAAGAUCAAUUUCAUAUCUUGCAAAUAUUUCUCUCACCUUUCCUCCACCCCAUUUUCGAUCUCUCUCCCUCUCCCUCAUCUCUCACUUCACUUUCCACCAUUUUUCCUCCAUUGAUGCACCUUCGGAGCUUCACAAAAUCACACCAAAAACACAAAUCACCCUCUAAAUCUUACACUAAACACUUCCAUCUCCUUAGAUUCAAGAAGAUCCAUGGAGAUUCAAUCUUGAAGUUAGAAAGAGAAAGUUUGGUUUUGGGUGUAAGUUUGGACACGAGCAGAGCAGGGAAGUAAGUAACUCCGCUUUGACGGGAGUUUUUGAGUAAGGUCUUCAGGCUAAGCGAGGAGUGAGAUUGGUCUGGUGCUGGUGGGGGAUCGUUAGAUGACGUAUUUACUUUAUCGUAUUUUUCUUUUUAUCGAUA